UACGUAGGGUGCAAGCGUUGUCCGGAAUUAUUGGGCGUAAAGAGCUCGUAGGCGGUCUGUCGCGUCGAAUGUGAAAACCCGGGGCUCAACCCCGGGCCUGCAUUCGAUACGGGCAGACUAGAGUUCGGUAGGGGAGUCUGGAAUUCCUGGUGUAGCGGUGAAAUGCGCAGAUAUCAGGAGGAACACCGGUGGCGAAGGCGGGACUCUGGGCCGAUACUGACGCUGGAGGAGCGAAAGCGUGGGGAGCGAACAGG
rnacentral:rRNA from 1 species